GAACUUCUCGCGAGCUCCCACGAGAUGUGGACGACAUAAAGGAAGUCCGGACGCCCUGGGAACCUCGCUGUGGUGAAUUCCCAUAUCCUUCGUUGUGUUUCUCAGACGCAGCGUGUACUUUUAUUUUUGCUUUUAUCUUCUUUUUCUCCUGUUCUGCCCACGUUCUCUCUGUAGAGCAAGAAGGACCUGGACUACUUUGGAUUGGCGAACCAUUGCUAAAGGAACUACCAGACAACAGAGGCACUGAACAGAUACUAUUUGCCAGAAAGAUUUCACCUCUUUGAGUACUGAAGACUUUCGUUUCAUAAGAUUAAAUUUAAUGCCAGAAUUCUUUACUGGAACUGGAGGAAAAAGAGAUGCACAUCAGGAAACAGCUGAUAAUGUGAAUCUGGAGUAUGAUCCAACAAGAGCAAGGGUUUGCCUUUAACCAAGUCAGAAAGGACCCAGUCUUUGUGGUAGGAAACUCAGAGGCAGGGAAGACUCCAGGAGGUCCUUCCAGCAGAGGUCAGCAGGCCCAGCAUCCAGGAGGCCAGGGGAUCAGGAGACACCCAAGUGCCCCUGUGGGACAAUGGCUAUCACACCACGAUGCUGUCCAACUCUUCAUUAUAAAGAUAAAGAAAGGCUCAGCAUGUUCAAAAUCUCCAUCACCAAGCUGAAAAGUCAGAAAUAGAAAUGGAGAAAAACAUUUGAAAGGGGUGACAUCAAAGCCUGACGGACGCAGGACAGGGAGAAGUGUCAGCAGAGCCUGGCAGUGAUGGCAGCCGCAGGAGAGGGCCUGCUCUGGCUACAAAUAGAUGGACUCAGCGAUGACUGAAGCUGUGGCUGGAAAAGGGAAUGUGAGCAUGAGUCACAGUCUCUUCUUUCCCUGGAAUUUCCAGCCCAGGCCUUCUGUUGGUUAAGUCUAUUGGAAAGCAGAAAGAAACAGAGAAUUUUGGUGUUGCCUGUAUCUUAUAUCUCUAUUAUUUACAAAUUAUAAUCUUUAUAUGGGCCGUUUUAGAGUAACAAGGACUAGAUAGACAUUCUACCUUUGACAACUGUAAGACCAGAGAAACAAAGCACACGAAGCAAGUUUUUUUUUUUUUUUUGGUAUCAGGGAUCGAACUUGGGACCUUGCACUUGCGAGGCAGGUGGUGGAACCACUGAGCUACAUCCCUGGCCCUGAAG
ensembl:lncRNA